rnacentral:rRNA from 1 species
AGAACGAACGCUGGCGGCAUGCCUAAUACAUGCAAGUCGAACGAACUCUUCGGAGUUAGUGGCGCACGGGUGCGUAACGCGUGGGAAUCUGCCCUUGGGUUCGGAAUAACAGUUGGAAACGACUGCUAAUACCGGAUGAUGACGAAAGUCCAAAGAUUAUCGCCCAGGGAUGAGCCCGCGUAGGAUUAGCUAGUUGGUGAGGUAAAGGCUCACCAAGGCGACGAUCCUUAGCUGGUCUGAGAGGAUGAUCAGCCACACUGGGACUGAGACACGGCCCAGACUCCUACGGGAGGCAGCAGUAGGGAAUAUUGGACAAUGGGCGCAAGCCUGAUCCAGCAAUGCCGCGUGAGUGAUGAAGGCCUUAGGGUUGUAAAGCUCUUUUACCCGAGAUGAUAAUGACAGUAUCGGAGAAUAAGACCCCGGCUAAUCCCGUGCCAAGCAGCCGC